AUGCCAGGGGCCGCACAGCCCCGGCUCCCCAGGCACAGCCUGCUCUCGGGGACUCCCCCGUCACCGGUGUCACUGGGGCGUCCAGCGCAGCGUGGUGCCGGGACAGGGUCCGGUAGCAGCCCCGGCGAGGAACAUCUCCUCUUAUCCACCAAGAUAAUAAAUUCUGCCUCGGAGUUUCUCACCUGGCAACAGUCACCAAGGAAACCCGGACGGCUCCCGUUGGGUCCCCGUUGGCGCUGCCCGGGGGUGUCCCCGAGCCGCGGGGCGUGCAGGGAGAGGGGACGCGCGUGUCCCUCUGCCACCCGAGGCGCCGGGUGCGCAGGCGGGCACCCUGCCAGCCGCCCGCUCUGUAACAUGAGCCCCGGCGCUCCGAGCCAAGUCCCGGGCGGGAGCAAACCGCCCAUCGACGAGGGCUUGGCCCUCUCUCGUCUUUCUAGAGCUGAGUGCAGGUUUCGCUGUUUUUGGGGGUGUUUGUUUUUUUUUUUUCUUUUUUUUUUUUUGAGGUUUUCCUGGCUGCGGGCGCGUCAGGAGGGGUGGCUUUGUUGCUGCCUGGGGGUUCUCCCAGUCCUCGCAGCCAGGAAUUUCGGACACGGGCGUUACAACAGCAGAGGCCUCUCAAAAUCUGCUGGUGCGGGGAGGGGGACCCGCUCUGCUGUCCCUUGGGAGGCCGUGCAGCUGUCUGCCACAUUGCACUCCUCUAUUUAUAGCACCCGUGGUCGUGCCUCUUCCUGCCACCUGGCCCGGCUGUCACCUGGCAAGUGCCAUCCCCAGGCACCGAGCGGUGCUGCCAUCUCCAGCGUGCCCGUGCGCUACGGGUGCAGCCAGUUCUGCAAAAGGCUUCCCAGCCCCGUGCUGCCUGCAGAAGCUGGCACUGCCCCUGGCACUGGUGAGGCCAUUGGCACAGGAGCAGCAGGGAAAGGCUGGGGACCGGGGGACGCGGUCACCGCUGGGCCCUGGGAAGUGGAGCAGGGCAGUGGCAGAGGUGCUGACCCACCCCGCAGCACCUCCGUGUAG
rnacentral:lncRNA from 1 species